UGGCAAAAGCCGGCUUGUUUGGGUUGAAAUAUAAAUGGGCGAGGGGACCCCAGCUCCUGGGAAUUGAAACAUCUUAGUACCAGAAGGGAUAAAUCAAGCAAGAUGCCGGAGUAGUGGCAAGCGAAAGCGGAGCAAGGUGGAAAAGUAAGUUAAACCGCAGAGGGUAACAGGCCCGUAAUUUACUUUGUAACCUACGUUUUAGUCAUUAGACCCCCGCAUAUUCGGGAAGUAGAAUAAUUUGAAGAAGGGUGAACCACACAUUCAACAUCACGAAAAGUUAUGCACCGAGAGAGGGAGUGCCGUGAGGGAAGGCUGAAAGAAUGGUGAAAACGGAAAUUUAUUGCACAUUAUAGCAGAUGUAGUCAUUGUACCUUUUGUAUAAUGGGUUUCAUGAGUAAAAUAUUUGGCAAAUUUAAGUCAAUGGACGGAGGUGUAGCGAAAGCGAGCCAGGUGAGGCACGAGUCAAAUACGACCUGAAACCAAGUGAUCUAAUCAUGAGCAGUCUGAAACUUGUCGCAAGGCAAAAUUGAGGGACGCACCAGUGGUUGUGGCAAAAAUCCUGGAAGACCUGUUGUAAGUGGUCAAAGGCCAAUCAAACUUGGCGAUAUCUGGUUUUCGACAAAAGCUAUUUAAGUAGUGUGUUGCUGUAUAAAAUAAAUUACCCCUGCAUGGUAGGGCAUUGAUUGGGCCCAGGGCAGAUAUCUGCUCUGUGUUCAGUCAAACCAUGAAAGCAUCACAAGCGACCAACCACCAACCUGCGGUUGGUGGUACCUAAGUACUUAUGUGGGCAAAAUGUGCGGAGGGAAAGAGUGACAGACAGUUGGUGUGAAGGUUGACUGUCGAGAGGGGAACAGCCCAGAUCAGAAGGGCACGAAGUAUGGGUUGAGUAUGUAAGGAAGAAGGAGAGACAAUGGGAAAGUAGGCUUGGAACCAGCUAUCUUUGAAAGAUUACAUAGAAGUUCACCUGAAUGACUAACGGACACUGAAAAUAUAAGUGGUUAAUUAAACCCAAUGGGACACAAACCGCAUUGGUGGGUUGUGUUUCACCCCGAAACUCUGAAGAGAAGAGAAAUCAACCAAGGUAGCCGAACGGACUGUAUUGAUAAUGAUGGCAAGAGCCGGAAUCAGUUGUGAUGAUGCGAAUAUGAGUAAUGCUUCAGUGUGUGACGAGGGCAAAUAUGUAAAUAACGAUUUGUUAAAGAAAUCCCACCGCAGUGGGAUUCAAGCCAUUGAACACAGCCCAAGGAUUCCGAUUUAAUGAGAAUCAUAAUCGGGUGGGACGGCUCCUAAGAUAUAAUUGAGAGGUACCUCUGUUUAAGAUAAGAGGGGGCGCCGACUGUUUACCAAAAACUUAGCCAUCAGCAAAGGGCCAAGGGCCUGAAGUAAUGGUGUGCGAUGCCUGCCCAGAGGUUAGAUUGGAACUCGAAUGAUGAAAAUUAUUUGAAUAAGGACAACUCAAUGGCCGCGGUAUCUCUGACCGUGAUAAUGUAGCAUAGUAACUAGCCAAUUAAUUGUUGGCACAUAUGAAAGGCUUCACAAGUGUCCCGCUGUCUCGAGAUAUAAAAUUGAAUUUG
rfam:Amphimedon queenslandica AMPQTscaffold_13386_Cont3679, whole genome shotgun sequence.